rnacentral:rRNA from 1 species
UACGGAGGAUGCAAGCGUUAUCCGGAAUGAUUGGGCGUAAAGCGUCCGCAGGGGGCAAUGUAAGUCUGCUGUCAAAGCGUCUGGCUCAACCAGAUAAAGGCAGUGGAAACUACAUAGCUAGAGUAAGGUAGGGGUAGAGGGAAUUCCUGGUGUAGCGGUGAAAUGCGUAGAGAUCAGGAAGAACACCGGUGGCGAAAGCGCUCUGCUGGACCUUAACUGACACUGAGGGACGAAAGCUAGGGGAGCGAAUGGG